GAACUGCGAUAAGUAAUGUGAAUUGCAGAAUUCAGUGAAUCAUCGAGUCUUUGAACGCACAUUGCGCCCCCUGGCAUUCCGGGGGGCAUGCCUGUCCGAGCGUCAUUGCUGCCCUUCAAGCCCGGCUUGUGUGUUGGGUCGUCGUCCCCUCCGGGGGACGGGCCCGAAAGGCAGCGGCGGCAUCGCGUCCGGUCCUCGAGCGUAUGGGGCUUUGUCACCCGCUCGAUAAGGACCGGCCGGGCGCCAGCCGGCGUCUCCAACCUUUUUUUCUCAGGUUGACCUCGGAUCAGGUAGGGAUACCCGCUGAACUUAAGC
rnacentral:misc_RNA from 1 species